rnacentral:rRNA from 1 species
AGAGUUUGAUCCUGGCUCAGAUUGAACGCUGGCGGCAGGCCUAACACAUGCAAGUCGAGCGGAUGAGAAGAGCUUGCUCUUCGAUUCAGCGGCGGACGGGUGAGUAAUGCCUAGGAAUCUGCCUGGUAGUGGGGGACAACGUUUCGAAAGGAACGCUAAUACCGCAUACGUCCUACGGGAGAAAGCAGGGGACCUUCGGGCCUUGCGCUAUCAGAUGAGCCUAGGUCGGAUUAGCUAGUUGGUGAGGUAAUGGCUCACCAAGGCGACGAUCCGUAACUGGUCUGAGAGGAUGAUCAGUCACACUGGAACUGAGACACGGUCCAGACUCCUACGGGAGGCAGCAGUGGGGAAUAUUGGACAAUGGGCGAAAGCCUGAUCCAGCCAUGCCGCGUGUGUGAAGAAGGUCUUCGGAUUGUAAAGCACUUUAAGUUGGGAGGAAGGGCAUUAACCUAAUACGUUAGUGUUUUGACGUUACCGACAGAAUAAGCACCGGCUAACUCUGUGCCAGCAGCCGCGGUAAUACAGAGGGUGCAAGCGUUAAUCGGAAUUACUGGGCGUAAAGCGCGCGUAGGUGGUUUGUUAAGUUGGAUGUGAAAGCCCCGGGCUCAACCUGGGAACUGCAUCCAAAACUGGCAAGCUAGAGUACGGUAGAGGGUGGUGGAAUUUCCUGUGUAGCGGUGAAAUGCGUAGAUAUAGGAAGGAACACCAGUGGCGAAGGCGACCACCUGGACUGAUACUGACACUGAGGUGCGAAAGCGUGGGGAGCAAACAGGAUUAGAUACCCUGGUAGUCCACCACCGUAAACGAUGUCAACUAGCCGUUGGAAUCCCUUGAGAUUUUAGUGGCGCAGCUAACCGCAUUAAGUGACCGCCUGG